AUGGAGCAGUACGUCGCCCUCUUAACCUACCUACAACGGUUCGCAGAUUCGGUUUCCGCGGUGAGCUGCGACGCGGAGGCGACGGGGGAUGGCGGCAGCGAUGUCUGCCGCAACGAGGCGGCCGCGCUGCAGCUCAAGAUGGUCGCCGUCGCCGCUAUCCUUGUCUCGAGCGCCGCCGGCGUCGCCAUCCCGCUCGUCGGCCACAGGUGGCGUGGCGCGGUUCGAGCCGGUGAGGGCGGGUGGGCGUUCGUGCUCGCCAAGGCGUUCGCGGCGGGGGUGGUCCUGGGCACGGGGUACGUGCACAUGAUGCACGACGCGGAGGAGAAAUUCUUGGACCCGUGCCUCCCGGACUCGUCCCCGUGGCAGCAGUUCCCCUUCGCGGGCUCUGUCGCCAUGCUCGCCAGCCUCGUCACACUCGUGGUCGACUUCAUCGGCACACAGUUUUACGAGCGUAAGCAGCGCGAUAAGGCCGGUGCCGCCUCCGCCACAACGAGCGCCCAAGAUGAGACGGGGUCGCCAUUGCUGCAGGACGGGAGGACUACAGGGGGCCAGAAGUGUGAGGCCACCCUUGGGCACAGCCAUGCGCACGUCUACGAAGGAGUGGUGCGCAACGGCCAUGGCCACGAGAACGAGGAGGGCCCGUCCCAAGCUCGUCAAGUGGUGGUUUCACAGGUACGAACACAGUGGUUGCCUUGCCCCUCCUGUCAAGCUCAAGCAUAA
rnacentral:rRNA from 1 species